rnacentral:lncRNA from 1 species
UGGGGUUGAAUGCUCCUUGGUGGAUGUGGGUGAUGCUCGCUUUCAGUUUGUUCUAGUGGUGUCUUCUGGAAAAAAUCCAUCUUCAUUGCCUGAUAUCUUAAAGCUGUUUGGGAAGAAUGCAGUGCCUCAGUACAUCGUUCCUCCCUGAUGGUUUUCACAGACAUUGAGGCUCUAUUUUCAGUCCACCUGGUGCUUCCUGGCCUCUCGCACUCUACAUCUGAAAGAAGUCAGAUGGAAGAAAUUUCUUCUACGGCUAACUUGAAAAACAAUCAGUUCUUUUAAAAUGUCGCUUUCAGUAUUGCUGUGUACUCCUUAUCACAGCUCGCUGUCUUCAGACCCAGUUACCUCCCCCAAAAGCGAGCAACUGAUCCAAGCAGAUGUUUUCUUAUCAAGAAUUCAUACCAGACCUAUUUAUUUUGAAUUAGCAUAUCUCAUUAACUGUCUCAAGGACACUGGCUGAAUUCAUCUUUUAACGAGUAUCUCAAAAAUCUAGCUUUUCAAAAGUGAAAUAUAACUGCAGAGAAUGUACAAUUAACCCCCUCGCUUCCAGUGCCUGGGUAGGAAGAUGCUGGAGGAUGGGGUUUUCUGCCUGGCCUUUGAGUGAAGCCACACAGACCUUUGGUGUUUUGGUGGGCGACAUGCCAGCCUGUCCUGAGGCCUGUGCAGAUGUGGGGUCACUGGAGCAGCCACCAGAGAUGCCGAAGGGCGGGACAGGCCAUGGGCCUGGGGCAGGAGGUGCUGAGGGCUGGCUCCAUCCAACAACCCCAGGCAUUCAUUGUGAAGUACUUCACUGUGAGCACGUCGGAGAGGGCAGGUGCUGCUCCUCGGCACAUCCACCACCAGCAUUUUGGGGUUCUGAGGCAGGGAAUUGAGCACCAAAAAGAGCAGGGGUGCCUCCUUCCCAUCUGCUGCACGGCUUGUAGGGAACCUCAUCCAAACUUCCCUCAAAGGAAAGGACGUUGGCCCCUGGUACCAAGGUCUGCCAGAAUGCAUUUUGUGGGCCUUCAGCCGCUGCCUUCCUUCGGGCACCUUGUUGCACAGCUCUGACUACAGAUGUGCUAUGCAAGGCAGACUCCAGCUCGCAGGUAAAUACAUGGCUUCAGAGGCUGCUGCGGCGAUGCAGGCGAGCAGGCUUUGACUUAUUCUCACUGCCUCUGCCCUGGCAGCACGAAUAAAUCUCGAAGCAGCAUCUCUUGGAGGUGUGUG